GAUGAACGCUGGCGGCGUGCCUAAUACAUGCAAGUCGAGCGAAUGGACUGAGAGCUUGCUCUUAUGAAGUUAGCGGCGGACGGGUGAGUAACACGUGGGUAACCUGCCCAUAAGACUGGGAUAACUCCGGGAAACCGGGGCUAAUACCGGAUAACAUUUUGAACCGCAUGGUUCGAAAUUGAAAGGCGGCUUCGGCUGUCACUUAUGGAUGGACCCACGUCGCAUUAGCUAGUUGGUGAGGUAACGGCUCACCAAGGCAACGAUGCGUAGCCGACCUGAGAGGGUGAUCGGCCACACUGGGCCUGAGACACGGCCCAGACUCCUACGGGAGGCAGCAGUAGGGAAUCUUCCGCAAUGGACGAAAGUCUGACGGAGCAACGCCGCGUGAGUGAUGAGGGCUUUCGGGUCGUAAAACUCUGUUGUUAGGGAAGAACAAGUGCUAGUUGAAUAAGCUGGCACCUUGACGGUACCUAACCAGAAAGCCACGGCUAACUACGUGCCAGCCGCCGCAGUAA
rnacentral:rRNA from 1 species